GGUGUUUGUGCUGAACGAACCUUUGAUUUCACUCCACGCCGCACUGGUGCAGAUGAAUUGGAAAUUACGUGUGGUGCUGGGAAGUUCGGAUUCAAGGUCGUCUGGUCCUUGAUGGACUUCAGGCUGUAAUCUUGUGCCUUUAUAAACUAAGUUGAACUAAGUUAUAUCGUGAGUCAGUGAUGUAAUGGAUAAGUAGAUGUAGUGGACUGGGUUAUAUCGUGGUGUAAUGAUGUAGUGAACUAAGUUAAUCAUGGUGUAAUGAUGCAGUGAACAAAGUUAAUCGUGAUGUAAUGAUGUGGUGCACUUUAUAUUAUUGCUAUUAAGUAAUUUGACUUGAUGACUUAUAAGUAAUGAUGCAGCGAAGUAAGUUAUAUGUAUUAUGGUGGUGUGUUAUAAACGAAUUCGUUGGCUUAAUUUUUUGGCAUAAUUAAAGUAGAUUAGUGCACUUGGCGUUUUGUUCGACAUGUAUUAGGCAGAAAUAUGAAUAUCUGUUACUGUUAAGGGAUUCUCUACCAUAUUUAUCUAUGGUUUGUGUUGAUUGCUCAUGGUCACUUCUGUGUUAUGUAAAUAUCCUGAAAAUUAAAAUAUUUGCAAGAUGGCUUUGCAUUGCAUUUCUGUGCUGUUAUUCUGAACUAACUUCUGAACCACAUGUUUGUUGGGAAGGAGUGUCUUGCCUGAGAAAGUGGCUUCAUUUUUGGAUCCAUGUUGCUUGUUCAAGCCAAUUUGGCUGGUACAUAAUUUUUUUAAGGAUGUUUACAAAGGAAACGAUCUUCAAGACACCAUGCCGCCAGAGAUACUUUUUCUUCUUCCCAUGUUCUCUUUUAUAAACUGUGUUGGUUCUGGGAUUCUGGCAAUGCCUCUACAUAUGCAUACGUGGAUAUACUAAUUUAGGACAUCUGUGAUAAUUUUUCUGCUAAAUCAAGUAUAUUACCUAGGGCAUACAUUUAUUUUCCCACUAAAUCAAGUAUAUUACCUAGUGCCUUUCCUGUCAUACGUGAAUGUCAACAAUUCAUGAUUUUUACAGUAUAUGAUUUUUCUCUUAAGUUAUGCAUGAGUGUAAUUUCUUGUUCUAAUAUGCUAGUGCCUGAAGUAGGUGUUGACGAGAAGUUCACUGGAAAAUGUUGGAAUUGCUGACUUGGCUACAAGGAUUUAGCACGAUGAGAGCAUAAAGGUCAGUAUGUUGUAAUAUUUGCCACUUCAAUCUGAACUUCCGAAUGAUUGCCAUCUCUACCUCUAAAACCCCUUUUUUUGUAACGCUCUUGAUGGUUUGGCCUAACUAGCUAUUUUGAAUGCAUUGAUGAGCACCAAGAGGCAUGCUUCUGCUGACCAUAUUUUAAGAAAUGAUCAACACUUGAUCGAUUUUCUGUGAAUCGCUAUUCAAAUAGCACAAAACAAGGUUCAUCCUGUCUUUUGUUCUUUCACGCCUUGAGGGCUGUUAUGAAACCAGUGGACUGGUAACAACAAUUGAAGAUGGUAACAUCAAAUAAAAUGGACUGGAAUCGCGGAUCUUCAGGGCCAGUAAAUAAAUCUGGAGUUAUAGAACAUCAGAAUUAUAAUACGUUGAGCAUGAACUGAAAACCUGAAAUAGUAUAGAACAGAACAUCACAGGAAAGCUACUGGCUAGAGCUGGGAGGCUGACUUGAUUAAUGCUUUCCUCACGGCCACUGCCACUUAUUUCCUCACUGUUUUUGCUCCAAGCAAAUGGACAACCAAGAGAACGGACAAAAUGAAAAGAAAUUUUCUUUGGAACGCAAAUGAGGAGGCUAAGGGGAGGGGAUUACGUUAUCUACCAAUUUUUUGUACUUCCAAAGUUGUUGAAUUUAAUAAAAAACUCUGUAGGUGCGUGUUUGAAUAGCAGACUUCUUUUAUUGGUGGGGCAGGGUCGAAGGUGCACUUGGUGUUUUGUAAGACAUGCAUUAGGCUGAAAUAUAAAUGUCCUGUGUUAUCUAAAUUCCUGAAAAUUUAAAUAUUUAGAAGGUGGAUAUGCAUUGCAUUUGGUCGCUGUUAUUCUGAACUAACUUCUGAAGCCCAACCUGGGUUCCCAGUUCUGAACCAUCAAAUCCAUCAACUUCCACUAGGAAGCGCCUGUAUGUUCUUGGUCUUGUGCAGUGCCGCAUUUUUGUUGGGAAGGAGAAAGUGGCUUUAUUUUCAUAAUAUCCAUGUUGCCUGUUCAAGUCAAUACAGAAAUUGGCUGCUACAUUAGAAAUUUAAGUAUCUUUCUUAAAAAUGAUCUAUAAGGCACCAUGACGCAAGAGGUACUUUUUCUACCCAUCUUCUCUUUUCUAAACUGUGGCAAUUUUUUGUUCUAUAUGCUACUGCAGUGAAGUCAGUGGUGAUGAGAUGUGCAUCGGACAAUGUUGGAAUCUCUGGCUUGCUACAUAGAUUUAGCAUGAUGAGAGGAUAAAGGUUGGUAUGUCCUAAGAUUUGCUACUUCAAUCUGAACUUGUGAAUGAUUGCCAUCUCUACCUGCAAAAACCGUUGGUUGUAACACUCCUGAUGGUGUGGCCUAACCAGCUGUCUUGAACGCAUUGAUAUGAUGAAAUUAUGUUUUGACUUCAAAAUGAGCACCAAGAGGUUUAUCAAUUUUCUGGAUCAUAAUUUAAGAAAGUGAGCACCAAGAACUUCUCCUGACCAUAAUUCAAGAAAUGAUCAGCACUUGAUCGAUUUUCUGUGAAUCACUAUUUAAACAGCACAGGACAGUCAGAACUGAUGGAAGCUGACACGCUUACUACACAGAGAGGUCCUGCAUAUGUUCAUGCUGUAUUUUGUUCAGAUGCUCUGCUCUACACCUUGAGGGCUGUUAUGAAACCAGUGGUAACAACUGAAGAUGGUAACUACAAAUAAAUUGGACUGGUAUCAGGGAUCUUGAGGGUCAGUAAACAAAAUCUAGAGUUAUAGAUAAUCAAAACUAUAGUCGCUGAACAUGAACUGAAGACAUGAAAUAGUGUAGAGCAGAGCAUCAUAGUGUGUUUUCUUAGUUUUCAUAUACCGAUUUGAUGCUUCAGAGCAAACUUUGAUGCUUAGCAUUGUCAAUGACCCUAAAUCUGAAACUUAUUUGCUUGUGAGACAUGUUGAACUGAAUUUGGAAGCAUCUGAACCCACCUUUACUCGUGCAGGUGAUCAAUGAAGGUUUCAGUGAAGGAAUCAUCCAAGUGCAAGCAGAGAAGUUCACCAUUAAUGAUGACGCUAAUUUUCCUAAACAGUCAACACAUUGUUCUUAUAUUGACUGGCUUCCUCUUCGAGUCCCAACAUGACAAAUGAAGCUUGAGCAUUGUCUUAUAACUAUACAAAGUUGAAAGGAUCAGGCGGCAGCGUGCCCCAACCCGGCCCUAUAUCUUGUAUGGAGCUUGAAGGGAAGGCUGAGUGGCUGACUAGUGUUACAUGGUGCUUCUGGGCUUUGCAUUUUUAUGUUUACAUGCUAGUUUAUGUUGCAGUAGCAUGAUGUCAACUUUUCUCUAUCUUGCUAGGCAUUAUAUACAAGUUUUUCGGCCAUUUGUACUUUGAUGCAUUUGCGGUAUAUUAAGCAGUCUCUUGUUCCUGCUAUUUGCUACUCAUUUGAAGUAAAUUUAAAUCAGAAUAUUGUGGUUAAGUGUACAACACAUGGUUUUAAUGUGUGAUGUAGAAAGAUGUAACAACCCAGGAGCAACAUGUUUUAUUAGGAAUUGAUUCUGCAUCAUAAUCAUUUCAUCAGCAUUUAAUUUAAUUUAAUUUAAUUUAAUUCAAUUUAAUUUAAUUGGAAAUGAGGAUUUAUUCAACCCUCAUAUUUUUCCUUAAGAGCUACUCCCUCCAUUCCUAAAUAUUUGUCUUUUUAAAGAUUUCAAAUGGAUUACCACAUACGGAUGUCACUGCUUAUGGACCCGAACCUGGGUGAUCUAUCCAUGACCAGGAUGAAGCUUGGACGAAACUAAGCAGAGGUCCGAACCGAUUGAUGUUGAAGAAUCAGCGGAUGAGUUGUGGUUAGGGGUGAAAUGCCACUCGAACCCUAUAGACAUAUUUUAGAGUUUAGAUGCACUCAUUUUGCUCCGUAUGUAGUCACUGUUGAAAUUUCUAGAAAGACAAAUAUUUAGAAAUGGAGGGAGUACAAUCCAAGACAUUCUUCAAUAAAACAUAAUGUCCUUCUCAACCUUAACGCCCAUCUUGCCCCAAAUAGUAAUUUAAGUGGAUUUGUUUCCAUAUAAAUAAAAAUAUGUUUCUAAAAUUGUUGAAUAUUUUGUUGUGCUUUUUUAGGGAUUGUUGUGUCUUUGUGUUUAAGAGAGAGAGAGAGAGAGAGAGAGAGAGAGAGAGAGAGCGGGGGGAGGUAGGUUUGUGCACCAUUGUCGAUAUGAUGACUCUGCUAGAGUUGCUCUAAGAGCGAUGGGAGGACCACCAUAGUUUAAAAAAUUAAAAAUAAGAAAUAAACAAGCAAAACAAAAGCGGAAAAGAGAGCACAGAAUGAACGAUCAACCCAGGAAAAGAGAAGAGAAACAAAACUGGUGGGACUGUUGGCCUUUUAUUAAAGGAGAACCAGUUGUUGCCCAUAUCUUAUGAAAUGGCCAAGCAAGGUGCGCAAUUUGAGCGAUUCAUCCUAUCCAUUGUCCACAACAAGGAUAGAAUUUUUCUGAAUCUAUUGGCUUACAGAAAAACAUGGAAAUCCCUUUUUAGUUGGCCAGAAAUGAUCUUAAGGGCCAGUUUUUUUGCUGGCUUUUAGAAUAAGUUGGAAUAUGCUCAUCUUAUUUUGAAGCGCAGCCAAUUGUUUUAGAGUCCUACUCCCUCUGUAAAGAAAUAUAAGAGCGUUUAGAUUACUACUUUUGUGAUCUAAACGCUCUUAUGAUUCUUUACGGAGGGAGUACUAACUAAAACUUUACUAGUAAACUUCUAGGAAAAUAUUUUGGAUGGGCUCGGAGACAACUUAUUCUAGAUGCCCAAAGAAAAAAACAGGUAUCGGACAGGCGAGGCCUCAUCGGCGGCGACGACUUGGGUGACUUGUGGCGGUGGGGACUUGGGAUUCAUGGUGCAUGUAGAGGAGGAGGAGGUCGUGGACAUGGAGCCCCUCUUCUUUAGCGAGGCGUACAUGGCAAAGAUGGUGGCGGAUGUGGAGGAGGAGGAAGAGAGGUGUCGGCGGGAGGAAGAGGCGAAGAUGCGGGAGGAGAAAGAGUACCGGCGGAGAUGCGAGGCACACGAAGCGGUUAUGGACUCCAUCAUCCAGCACGAUCCCAAGGUCGAGCGCGAUGUCUACACCCGGUUCUUCCUUAGAGAUUUCUCCGUCUUUGACAUCGAUGAAGAGUGUAAGUAGAAAUCCAUGCUUGUUUUUUACUUUGCUAAUACAUUAUCUUUUCUGAAUUUCUGAUGUAUGGGUACAAAAAGGUUGGCUAUGUUUCAUUAAAAUAUGCCAUUUGAUGUGCCUUAUCCUUCCAAAACUUUAUGUUUGAAAUAUAAUAUAUAUAUUCCUUGUGCAGGAUAAGUUGAGAAAUAAUUUUUUAUUACAUUUGCUAAAGUACCAUGCAAAUGAAGCUUAAGACAACAUACUUGAUGUUGUAAGGUAAUAUCUUAAUCACAUCAAGUAGAUCUUAGUUUGUAACGUAUAAUUAUUUGAAUCAUUAUUCUAUGUGUAUAUAUCGCCAAGUUACAUUGCACGUGAAGUGGAUUUCCAUUAAUUUUUAAUUGUUGCCGGCUAUCUUUUCUCUACAUACAAAAUAUAAUACAUUAUAUGCGCAAUCAGAUAAAAUCUAUACAUGCAAAAUUUCAUAUGCAUUGUAUUGAUAGAUACAAUAAUAAAAGAAUUAAGAGCCCGUGGCAACGCACGGGUGUUCUACUAGUUUAUUUAGUUUGUGACUGCAUAGAGUACACAUGAACGAAAAAAAACCGAUAAACCUUGUGUAUAUUCUUCAAACGAUUUUUUUUUCUUUUUGGACACCUCUCGCUAAUAUUACGGACUGUGCGUAAGCUGAGUGGCUGACACGCCACUAGGAGCUUUGGCCCAGCCCAAAGAAUCAAGAGUUCGGCUCAAAAAGAAAGAAAAAUAGAUCAACAAAAGGAAAGGGGUCGACAGCGGCGCUGUAGGGUUCGCUCGAUUGGCUCGGCGGCAGCGGCGGCUUUGGGGCGGCGGCGAGUUGGGAGGAGGAGGUCGUGUACAUGGAGUUUCUCUUCCUUGACGAGGAGGACUGGGCGGAGAUGGAGGCAGAUAAGGAGAAGGAAGUGGAGAGGCGCCGGCGGGAGGAGGAGGAGAAGGCGCGGAAGACGGAGGAGAACCGACGGAGAAGCGAGGCACACGAUGCGGUCAUGGACUCCAUCAUCCAACACGACCCCAAGGCAGGGCGCAAGGUCUACACGCGGUUUUUCCUCAGAGACUUCUCCGUCUUCAACAUCGACGAGGAGUGUAAGUGGCCUCCAUCUUCAUCCUUGCUUGUUCUUUUCUUGUUUAAUCUAAGACAGGGAUUUUGGGAAGGAGGGGUUAUUACUAAAUUUCUGAUGUCUGGCAACUGAAUUACGUUACAGUAGGAUGUCUCUCACCUGUAUAAUCGUCUAUUUGGAGAAUCCUCGACAUGUUCAUUAUUGAUGGAUAGCAGUGAACAGCGAGUCUGAAUUCAUUUUUAUGCUGCAUAUGUACUCCCUCCGUCCGGAAUUACUUGUCAUCAAAAUAGAUGAAAAUGGAUGUAUCUAGAACUAAAAUACAUCUAGAUACAUCCAUUUCUACAACAAAUAUUUCCGGACGGAGGAAUUAUCACUUAGCAACAGAAACCGCGGAUUUGGCUAAACCUGAAAUUAACUUGGUACAAAUGGUAAGAUGAUAGCUUCUCUUGAAGUUAACUCGGAAGUGAAAUAGGAAUAUUAGAUGGUUUAACUCGGUGGGAUUGAAAUGGGGAAAACACAAACUGGGGCUGUCUAUUGUGAUGAAAUAAUUUGAUUGAUUUAUAUUGCCCAUACAUUGCAGCUUCUGUCCGUCCAAUGCGAUACACCGAUAGUAUCUACCAAGAUGAAUUUGGGCUAGAAGACUCUGCAAACAUCCUCUCCGUCAGCAUAGUCUCCUCGGAUGUAGGCUUCCCAGUCAAUGUCUAUGGCCGUGUCAUUGCCAGAGACAGCAUUGACUACAAGUGCAUUUAUCUCUUCCACCGCAAUAGAGAUGAUUGUCAGCGUCUCAACGAGGUACAUCCUUGUUUCUAAGUUCGUUCCAGCCGGGUUUCACUUUAUUCCGUGAUGCAUUUAAUAUCAACUGUUAAUUGGCAUCUAAAUGGAGUCAUCUUAGUGCUGCUGGUUGUCGAUCCAGAUAGUCAUUUGCAUAUAAAUGGAGUAGCUUUUAUGGCAUGCUUCCAAUUUUCAUUUUGAGCAGUGUUUGGAUGAGCAUACUCUAAUCUCUCGUGCAAUUCUUUUCAUAGGAUGGAAUGCUGAUUUUAACUGGCCCAAGCCGAGGUCUAGUGCUGGUUGAUUUCAUCUAUCUAGAGAUAGAUCUUAAAAUCAGGGAAGAUGGAGUGUCUCCAGACAGGCCAUUCAGCAAGGGUCUGAUAAGCAUUGAUGGCCGAGUACUGUCUAGAGAGGAAGAUGUCAUGGUUAGAAGUGAAACCCUUGAGAGCUGGCUCAGCACUACGGAAGUGAGAUUCGCAACUGUUCUUAACGCAGUCGAGUGCACCUUUGAAAUCAAGCUCACUGAGGGGCAUUUUAAAGGAAAUAUAACAGUUGGCAUAGCGGAUAAAGCUCGCAAGCUGAAUAUUGACAAAGCGAUUGUGAUUCAUGAUAGCAUUUUAGAUGGCGUGGUUAGAAGUGAUGAAAGUGGAGUUAUCAAACUCCGGCGAAGUGUCAUUACUAUCUGUCUGGAAGGAACGGUGGAGUUUCAAAUCAAUAAUGUGGCUGCUGGUGUUUGUGCUGAACGAACCUUUUAUUUCACUCCACACCGCACUGGCGCAAAUGAAGAGGAAAUUACGUGUGGUGCUGGGAAGUUCGGAUUUAGGGUUGUCUGGUCCUUGAUGGACUUCAGGCUGUAAUCUUGUGCCUUUAUAAACUUAGUUCUGAUGUAAUGGAGUGAUGUAAUGAUGUAGUGAACUAAGUUAAUCAUGAUGUAGUGAUAUCGUCCACUAAGUUAUAUUUUUGUUAUUAAGUAAACUGAUGGAUUAUAAGUAAUGAGUAGCGAACUAGUAAGUUAUUAUGUAUUAUGGUGGAAUGUUAUACUGAAUUUGUUGGUUUAAUUUUUUGGCAUAAUUAAAGCAGAUUAGUGCA
rnacentral:lncRNA from 1 species